CACGCCGUAAACGAUGAGUGCUAGGUGUUAGGGGGUUUCCGCCCCUUAGUGCUGAAGUUAACGCAUUAAGCACUCCGCCUGGGGAGUACGGCCGCAAGGCUGAAACUCAAAAGAAUUGACGGGGGCCCGCACAAGCGGUGGAGCAUGUGGUUUAAUUCGAAGCAACGCGAAGAACCUUACCAGGUCUUGACAUCCUCUGCUAACACUAGAGAUAGUGUGUUCCCUUCGGGGACAGAGUGACAGGUGG
rnacentral:rRNA from 1 species